UACGAAGGGGGCUAGCGUUGCUCGGAAUCACUGGGCGUAAAGGGUGCGUAGGCGGGUCUUUAAGUCAGGGGUGAAAUCCUGGAGCUCAACUCCAGAACUGCCUUUGAUACUGAAGAUCUUGAGUUCGGGAGAGGUGAGUGGAACUGCGAGUGUAGAGGUGAAAUUCGUAGAUAUUCGCAAGAACACCAGUGGCGAAGGCGGCUCACUGGCCCGGUACUGACGCUGAGGUGCGAAAGCGUGGGAGCAACAGG
rnacentral:rRNA from 1 species